rnacentral:rRNA from 1 species
GACGAACGCUGGCGGCGUGCCUAAUACAUGCAAGUAGAACGCUGAAGAGAGGAGCUUGCUCUUCUUGGAUGAGUUGCGAACGGGUGAGUAACGCGUAGGUAACCUGCCUUGUAGCGGGGGAUCACUAUUGGAAACGAUAGCUAAUACCGCAUAACAAUGGAUGACACAUGUCAUUUAUUUGAAAGGGGCAAUUGCUCCACUACAAGAUGGACCUGCGUUGUAUUAGCUAGUAGGUGGGGUAAUGGCGCACCUAGGCGACGAUACAUAGCCGACCUGAGAGGGUGGGCGGCCACACUGAGACGGAGACACGGCCCAGUCGGCUACGGGAGGCAGCAGUAGGGAAUCUGGAGGAAGGGGGGCAACCCUGAGCGAGCAACGCCGCAUGCGGGAAGAAGGUUUUCGGAUCGGAGAGCUCUGUUGUAAGUCAAGAACGGGUGUGAGAGUGGAAAGUUCACACUGUGACGGUAGCUUAUCAGAAAGGGACGGCUAACUACGUG